rnacentral:rRNA from 1 species
UACAUGGGGUGCAAACGUUGCUCAGAAUCAUUGGGCGUAAAGCGCGCGUAGGCGGUUGCUUAAGUCGGAUGUGAAAGCCCUCGGCUUAACUGAGGAAGUGCAUCCGAAACUGAGCAGCUAGAGUACGAAAGAGGGUCGCGGAAUUCCCGGUGUAGAGGUGAAAUUCGUAGAUAUCGGGAGGAACACCGGUGGCGAAGGCGGCGACCUGGGUCGAGACUGACGCUGAGGCGCGAAAGCGUGGGGAGCAAACAGG